UACGUAGGGGGCAAGCGUUAUCCGGAUUUACUGGGUGUAAAGGGAGCGUAGACGGUAUGGUAAGUCAGAUGUGAAAGCCCGGGGCUCAACCCCGGGACUGCAUUUGAAACUAUCAAACUGGAGUGCAGGAGAGGUAAGUGGAAUUCCUAGUGUAGCGGCGAAAUGCGUAGAUAUUAGGAGGAACACCAGUGGCGAAGGCGGCUUACUGGACUGUAACUGACGUUGAGGCUCGAAAGCGUUGGGAGCAAACAGGAUUAGAUACCCCUGUAGUCCCUGAGCGGG
rnacentral:rRNA from 1 species